rnacentral:miRNA from 1 species
GUGCAAAAGGUAAUCGCGGUUUUGCCAUUAAGUGAUGACAAAAACCACAAUUACUUUUGCACCAA